rnacentral:tRNA from 1 species
GACACUAUGGCCGAGUGGUUAAGGCGUGAGACUCGAAUGCUUCACUAUUUGGCUAUCUCUUGGGCUCCGCCCGCGCAGGUUCGAAUCCUGCUGGUGUCG